GAUCCUGGCUCAGGACGAACGCUGGCGGCGCGCCUAACACAUGCAAGUCGAACGGAGUUUACAGGCAGAAGUUUUCGGAUGGAAGCUUGUAAACUUAGUGGCGGACGGGUGAGUAACACGUGAGCAACCUGCCUAUCAGAGGGGGAUAACGAUUGGAAACGAUCGCUAAUACCGCAUGACAUAGCGGAACCGCAUGGUUCUGUUAUCAAAGAUUUUAUCGCCGAUAGAUGGGCUCGCGUCCG
rnacentral:rRNA from 1 species